rnacentral:rRNA from 1 species
CGUGUAGGCGGGUAACGCAAGUCAGAUGUGAAAUACCGGGGCUCAACUCCGGAACUGCAUCUGAAACUGCAUAUCUUGAGUACUGGAGAGGAAAGUGGAAUUCCUAGUGUAGCGGUGAAAUGCGUAGAUAUUAGGAGGAACACCAGUGGCGAAGGCGGCUUUCUGGACAGUAACUGACGCUGAGGCGCGAAAGCGUGGGGAGCAAACA